ACCGCCGCCGAGACCUCCACACGACUCAGAAAAAAGGUGAGGAUUGAAGAGGAGUUCACUGGAUUGUACAUGUUAUUCUGUUCAAAAUGAUAGAUCUUUUGUCACUGAGAGCCCUGGCAUCAGUAAUUUGGGGCUUGUCGGAGGGGGGAUUUUGAAAUUUUGCUUCUUGUCCAGGAGGGAGCUUAGCCUAGACAAGGAUGUGUACAUGUACAGAGUUAGGGUUCGACGAUUCUGAGCCGGUACUGCCUUCUUGAUUAAUGUUGACCGAAUCAGAGGUUGUUU